rnacentral:rRNA from 1 species
AACGAACGCUGGCGGCAUGCCUAACACAUGCAAGUCGAACGAAGGCUUCGGCCUUAGUGGCGCACGGGUGCGUAACGCGUGGGAAUCUGCCCUUUGGUUCGGAAUAACAGCUGGAAACGGCUGCUAAUACCGGAUGAUGACGAAAGUCCAAAGAUUUAUCGCCAGAGGAUGAGCCCGCGUUGGAUUAGGUAGUUGGUGGGGUAAAGGCCUACCAAGCCGACGAUCCAUAGCUGGUCUGAGAGGAUGAUCAGCCACACUGGGACUGAGACACGGCCCAGACUCCUACGGGAGGCAGCAGUGGGGAAUAUUGGACAAUGGGCGCAAGCCUGAUCCAGCAAUGCCGCGUGAGUGAUGAAGGCCCUAGGGUUGUAAAGCUCUUUUAACCGGGAAGAUAAUGACUGUGCCGGGAGAAUAAGCCCCGGCUAACUCCGUG